GUAAUUCUUUAAAAUGUAAUAAAUUUUAAAAAAUACUAUAUUCUGCCAUCAUAUUUGACCUACCAAAAUGAACCACUUCACACUUAUCUGGGUUGAACUCCAUCUGCCACUUCUCAGCCCAAUUUUGCAUCCUAUCAAUGUCCCACUGUAACCUCUGACAGCCUCUCCACACUACCCACAACACACCCAACCUUUGUGUCAUCAGCAAACUUCCUAACCCAACCCCCCACUUCCUCAUCCAGGUCAUUUAUAAAAAUCACGAAGAGUAAGGGUCCCAGAACAGAUCCUUGAGGCACUCCACUGGUCACCGGCCUCCAUGUAGAAUAUGACCCGUCUACAACCACUCUUUGCCUUCUAUGGGCAAGCCAGUUCUGGAUCCACAAAGCAAUGUCCCCUUGGAUCCCAUGCCUCCUUACUUUCUCAAUAAGCCUUACAUGGGGUACCUUAUCAAAUGCCUUGCUGAAAUCCAUAUACACAACAUCUCUUGCUCUUGCUUCAUCAAUGUGCAAGUCAUUAUUGUUGAUUUCUAUCUUAGGGGAAUUUGGCUGAGCUGGGAAUUUCCAAUGAAUGAUAAUAUAAAUAGAGGAGGCAGAACCUUCACAAUCAGUGAGUACUACUCCAGCAUGGAGAUCUUGCGGCUGGUGACAGCUCUCCUGCUUGUCGUGGGGACCACCGGAUCAGAACAUCUCAGCUGUCAGCACAACAGAAUCGAGCUCGAGGGCUUCUCACACCAGGGUGUGGAGCUCCUUUGCCUCUUCUCCUGGAAGGGCCACGAGCCUCUGGAGCACAUGGUGGUUUGGAAGGUGGCGCUGAACCACUCGAAGAAUAUCCUCUUGGUACACGGUCAGGAGAACCGAGCGGUGGAGCAGGACACUACGUUCAGGGGCAGGACUGAACUGCAGGCAGCUUGGUUCUCCAAAAGAAACGCCACCUUAAGACUCCAUGGACUGAGCCCGGAGGAGGAGGGAACAUACACUUGUCACAUCACCACGAUGAAUCCUUUCAACAUGGAGAUAUGCGCGGAGGUGGCCUUGACUGUACAGCCAGCGACACAGCCCUCGCAGUCCGAACACCUCCCUCAGCCUUUGUACGAAGUUGAUGGGAAUUCUCCACAAUGGCAGGACCAGAACCAGACAGCAGGAGUGAUGAGAAUGAGGACGGCUCCAGUCUGACAGUCGGGAAUUCAAAUCGAACGGAAAACUGGGAGGAGGAACUAAUGUUGCGGCCCAGACACAGCAGCGGAAUCAGGAACGGACCCCAUCUCCUCCUCAUCGUUUGCAUACCAGCCUCCCUGCUCCGAUUUGUCCACAGCCUCUGAACCUUCUCCGACUGGUCCUGUGAGCAGACGGUUUAGCUGAGGGAAGUCGACUGGACUACAAGACCCGGCGCUGAGGUCAGUGGGCGACUGAGAGGGCAGUGUGCCCACAGGGAAGCCCUCGGAAACAUGCCACACGAAGGCGUCCCAGAUUGCCAUGUGCCUCACCGGCGGCGUGUACCGAGUCCGAGGUGUUCCUGAGCAUCGGGGUCGGUGAAUCGUGGACCCGAACUCUAACUUCCCAUUUGGGAAGUUACUGGCUCGAGGACUCGCUCUUCCUCCCUCCCCAAGUUAACCCCAGGCUGGGGGACGGUGGUGGGACGUGAACCUAGAGCGUCAACCGGGGCACAGGGGGGCAGAAGCCAGAAUGAGAUCAGUGACCUUCAGGAUGUCAGGACAGGUCCCUUGGAAGGGCUAAGGCAGGGGUCGGCAACGUUUACCACUGAAAGAGCCAAUAUGGACCCAUUUCCCACAGAAAAGAAAACACUGGGAGCCACAAAACCCGUUUGACAUUUAAAAUGAAAUAACACUGCAUACAACAGUUUUUGCCUUUAUGCUAUGUAUAAACAAACUAUAAUGUGUUGCAUUUAUGGAAUUGAUGAACUCCUGCAGAGAAAACGAAAUUACAUUUCUGCAUGCAACAAAAACAUUUUGAACUCUGAAAAAAAGACGUUGGGUUGAAGGUUACUCCAUAGGUAGCCUACCUUGGAUCGAAGAAUUGAAAGAAAGUGCACACUGGCGGGUGUCAGGCAUUGGCAGUGGUGAUGUAUAUUAAUAGCGAUAAAAAAACACGUUGUAGCGGUGUAGCGCUACACGCAGCGCUAAAAUAAAGACACUGCAGUCAAAGGUAACUUUAUUCGAACUAAACAGCCUUGCUUUAAAGCCUCCCUCAACCCGUCCCCGUGGGCGCGGAUGCUCCAAAGGACACGUACUCACAAACCCCCGUAGGCUAUCUCCCUUAGCCGGAACGGUGGCUAAUUGUGAGCCGGUUCGGAUGUGCCAGGAAAUGGAGUCUCCACAAAGUUUUUAGAUUGUACAAGAUCACCAUAAUCUUCAAAUUUCGAAUUACAUUUCAAAAGCUAACAAACCACGGGGAGCCGCAUCACAGAGAUGAAAGAGUCGCAUGCGGCUCCGGAGCCGCAGGUUGCCAGCCUCUGAGCUAAGGUAAUCAGCAACCCAUUUGCUGUUCAUGCCGAACGAGACCUGGAUGAGAUCAGGCUGAAGCACCUUCUUGACCCUGUGCAGAUCUUUCAGUGGGGUCGCUGCCGAGGGGAGGGGUUGGCUUCCAGGAUUUAGACCCAGGGACAAUGAGAGGAGGCGGUACAGCCAGAUUCAGGCUCAGUUAUUACCCUUCAGCCAUCAGGCUCCCGGAAUCAGUGAGGAUAACUUCACUCAACACUACACACGACUGAUUCUACAACACUAUCAAGGACUCUUCACAGCUCGAGUUUUCUGUAUUUUCAUUUGCAGUUUGUCUAUUGAUUGUUGGUUGUUAGUCUAUAUACUUUGUAUAAAUUUGUACAGUAUUUAUUUAUUUGUGUAAAUACCUACAAGAAAAUGAAUCUCAAAGUAGUCGAUUAUUCUGCAAAAAUCUUGACACAUUUCUAUAAAGCCGGAGAGCCUAAGCAUUUUGCAUGAUACUGUAGUAAUGUAUUGCACUGUACCUCUACUGGGAAAAAAAGACAAAUUUCAAAAAAUAUGUGAGUGAUGAUAAACCCGGAUUCUGAUCUGGGCCUCUGUUGUGGACUGGGAGUGGGAAGGGGGCAGGGAGAGAGGAAUCAUGGUUGGGAAAGGGGGAAGGGGGGGGAAUGGGAAGCACCAGAGAGAUAUUCAGUAACGAUCAAUAAACCAAAAUUUAAAUUCAAAUGCCCGGUGUCUCAGGGCUGGGUGUGUCUGCACCCCCCCCCCCCCACACCGGCCCUGGCACUCCUACUCUGCCAGCUGUCUCCCAGUCCCUCCAACGGCACUCCACCAUCACCAUUCCCAACAUCCUCUGCUCCCGCAAACUCGUUCUCCGCUCCACAUUGACAAAUUAGAUUAGAUUAGAUUCAACUUUAUUGUCAUUGUACCGAGUACAGAUACAAAGCCAAUGAAAUACAUCUAAUCAGAAAUGCAAAGAAUAGUGUUAUUUACAAAAUAACUACGAAUAUCCGCAAAGGUAACAGCAUUAUGAAGGACCCCACGUACCCCUCAUACAAUCUCUUCUCCCUCCUGCCGUCUCGGAAAAGGCUCCGAAGCAUUCGGGCUCUCACGGCCAGACUAUGUAACAGUUUCUUCCCCCAAGCUAUCAGACUCCUCAAUACCCGAAGCCUGGACUGACACCUUGUCCUAUUGUCCUGUUUAUUAUUUAUUGUAAUGCCUGCACUGAUUUUGUGCACUUUAUGCAGUCCAGUGUAGGUCUGUAGUCUAGUGUAACUUUCUCUGUGUUGUUUUUUUAUGUAGUUCACUCUAGUUUUCAUACUGUGUCAUGUAACGCCAUGGUCCUGAAAAAAGUUGUCUCGUUUUUACUAUGUGCUGACCCAGCAGUUAUGGUCGAAAUGACAAUAAAAGUGACGACUUGAAUAAAAAGGAAGUGCUACAGCACACAAAUAUAAACAUACUGAGACAGUACAAUAUGGGUGCAAUACUGCUUGACGCUGUGAUGUGAGGUUCAGCAGGGUCACAGCCUCAGGGAAGAAGCUCUUCCUGAGCCUGGUGGUGUGGGAGCGGAGGCUCCUGUAGCGCCUACCGGAUGGGAGGAGAGUGAAAAGUCCAUGGUUAGGGUGAGCUGUAUCCUUGAUAAUGCCUUCGCCCUGCCCAGGCAGUGUUUAUGAUAGAUGUUCUCAAUGGUGGGCAAUUGGGUGCCAAUAAUCCGCUGGGCAGUUUUCACCACACGCUGGAGUGCUUUGCGGUCCGAUACAGGACAAUUCCCAUACCACACUGAGAUGCACUUGGUGAGUAUGCUGUCAAUGGUACAGCGGUAAAAGUCCGUCAGUAUCCUGGGACGGACGUGAGCUCUGGCAUACUCGUUGUACAUGUGUGUGCCUGAGAGAUUU